rnacentral:rRNA from 1 species
AACAAACGCUGGCGGCGUGCCUAAUACAUGCAAGUCGAACGGGGAAAGCUUUCGGGCGAGUACUAGUGGCGCACGGGUGAGUAACGCGUGGAUAAUCUGCCUUAGAGUGGGGGAUAACUAGUCGAAAGAUUAGCUAAUACCGCAUAAGACCACAAGAACUGCGGUUCAAGGGGUCAAAGGUUUUUCGCUCUAAGAUGAGUCCGCGUAAGAUUAGCUAGUUGGUGAGGUAAUGGCUCACCAAGGCGACGAUCUUUAACUGGUCUGAGAGGAUGAUCAGGCACACUGGAACUGAGACACGGUCCAGACUCCUACGGGAGGCAGCAGUAGGGAAUAUUGCACAAUGGAGGAAACUCUGAUGCAGCGACGCCGCGUGAGUGAUGAAGGCCUUCGGGUCGUAAAGCUCUGUCGCAAGGGAAUAACACAAUGAAUGUACCUUGCAAGAAAGGAUCGGCUAACUUCGUGCCAGCCGCCGCCGUAACAC